rnacentral:rRNA from 1 species
CAAGUCGAACGGCAGCACGGGAGCAAUCCUGGUGGCGAGUGGCGAACGGGUGAGUAAUAUAUCGGAACGUGCCCAGUCGUGGGGGAUAACGUAGCGAAAGCUACGCUAAUACCGCAUACGAUCUAUGGAUGAAAGCGGGGGAUCGCAAGACCUCGCGCGAUUGGAGCGGCCGAUAUCAGAUUAGCUAGUUGGUGGGGUAAAGGCCCACCAAGGCGACGAUCUGUAGCUGGUCUGAGAGGACGACCAGCCACACUGGGACUGAGACACGGCCCAGACUCCUACGGGAGGCAGCAGUGGGGAAUUUUGGACAAUGGGCGCAAGCCUGAUCCAGCAAUGCCGCGUGCAGGACGAAGGCCUUCGGGUUGUAAACUGCUUUUGUACGGAACGAAACGGCCUUUUCUAAUACAGAGGGCUAAUGACGGUACCGUAAGAAUAAGCACCGGCUAACUACGUGCCAGCAGCCGCGGUAAUACGUAGGGUGCAAGCGUUAAUCGGAAUUACUGGGCGUAAAGCGUGCGCAGGCGGUGAUGUAA